ensembl:lncRNA
CACAACCAGUGGGGUUAUUGUUUUAUUAUUAUUAUUUGUUUGUUUCUUUUUUUUUUUCUUGUUGGUGUUUUUAUAUCUAAGCCUCCAAAAGUUUUGUUUGGAAUCAAUUGCAGAUGAAAAUGUCAGGUUAAUCAGUGGUGGAGAUGUAUAAGAAAACUCCAUGGAAUCACAGAAUCAUUUAAUCCUACUCCCCUUCUAAAACAGGUUCCCUACAACAGGUUGCACAGCCUCAGGAUGUCUUGAAGAAAAUAUCUAUCUCAACGGGCACAUUCCUGGGUGGCAAAGAUAAUUAACAACUGAAUACAUAAAUCAACUAAUAAACACACUACUUCUUAUUCCACUCUUCCAACUCAGUUCUCCUAUGCAGAUGGAUGCGAACUUAAUCUGCCUACACUGGAUGGACAAAAACUCAGUCUGAGAUGAAGAAACAUAUUAAUAAAGCUCAGGUGCCAGUCAGAGUUAUCCCUGUGUAUAUGUCUACAUAAUACUGAAAAUACACUAACAGAAGCCUGGAAAAGAUCUUACCAGAGAGACCUGGACAGACUUGUGCAGUGGGCCCAGAAAAAAAAAAAUCUGACAUGACAGGACCUGUCAUCUUGGUGAAGAGAGCUGGAAAUGAAAAGCAUCGGGCCAGUUAAUACAGUUACUUGAAAAGGCAAAACAGACAGCUUUCUGCUGGUCUGCAGUGAUGAAGAAGCAAAGAAAGUCAAAGGGCAAUCAACUUGGGUCUUGGAGCAACUGUUUAAAGGACUAGGGGCAGAGGUAGUGUUUUCCUCUGUCCUUCUAGUAUCAGGGAACAAUACCGAAAAGAACAGGCAGAUGCAGCUGAUCCACAUGUGACUCC